rnacentral:rRNA from 1 species
AGGGAAUAUUGCGCAAUGGAGGGAACUCUGACGCAGCGACGCCGCGUGAGCGAUGAAGGUCUUCGGAUCGUAAAGCUCUGUCCUUGGGGAAGAAGGGUGCAUUAUAGCAUCUUGACGGUACCCGAGGAGGAAGCCCCGGCUAACUACGUGCCAGCAGCCGCGGUAAUACGUAGGGGGCAAGCGUUGUCCGGAAUUAUUGGGCGUAAAGGGUGCGUAGGCGGCCUUUUAAGUCAGGUGUGAAAGCCCACGGCUUAACCGUGGGAUUGCAUUUGAAACUGGAAGGCUUGAGUAUCGGAGAGGGUAGUGGAAUUCCCAGUGUAGCGGUGAAAUGCGUAGAUAUUGGGAGGAACACCAGUGGCGAAGGCGACUACCUGGACGAAAACUGACGCUGAUGCACGAAAGCUAGGGGAGCAAAC